rnacentral:rRNA from 1 species
GACGAACGCUGGCGGCGUGCCUAAUACAUGCAAGUAGAACGCUGAAGGAGGAGCUUGCUCUUCUGGAUGAGUUGCGAACGGGUGAGUAACGCGUAGGUAACCUGCCUGGUAGCGGGGGAUAACUAUUGGAAACGAUAGCUAAUACCGCAUAAGAGUAGAUGUUGCAUGACAUUUGCUUAAAAGGUGCAAUUGCAUCACUACCAGAUGGACCUGCGUUGUAUUAGCUAGUUGGUGGGGUAACGGCUCACCAAGGCGACGAUACAUAGCCGACCUGAGAGGGUGAUCGGCCACACUGGGACUGAGACACGGCCCAGACUCCUACGGGAGGAAGCAGUAGGGAAUCUUCGGCAAUGGACGGAAGUCUGACCGAGCAACGCCGCGUGGUUGAAGAAGGUUUUCGGAUCGUAAAGCUCUGUUGUAAGAGAAGAACGGGUGUGAGAGUGGAAGUUCACACUGUGACGGUAUCUUACCAGAAAGGGACGGCUAACUACGUG